CCUUUUGUGGCGUAGUUGGUUACUACAUCAGUCUAGCACUGGUGGUCUCCAGUUCGAGCCCGGCCGAAACCA